AAAUAUAAAAUUUGAAAAACAGUUUUAAAAGCUAAAACAAUUUAAAAUGUAACAUGUUAAAAUACAAACCUUAAACUUGCAUGUCAUUUCAAACCCAGCCCUUACAGCCUGAAAAGGCCUGACAGCACAAGAGUGUCUUUAUCUGCUGCCGAAAAGAUAGUAGGGAUGGAGCCAUCCUGUCCUCUUUAGGGAGGGAGUUCCAAAGCUUGGGAGCAGCCACUGAGCAGUAAAUAAUAAGUAAAUAAGUAAAAAUAUUUUACCAGUGAUUAGAUUAGAUUCAAGUUUACUAAAUCCUGCUUCCCUUCGGAGUACUGCAUUUGGAACACAUCAGGUAAUCUGGAAGAUGCUUCUUAGUGUGUGCAUAUUCAUGUCACUUGGUGCAAAUUAGCAAUGAAACCUACAAAAGGUAUUGGCCUACAAUAAUUUCAUAUAGAGCCAGUGUGGUGUAGUGGUUUGACUACUGAUGGCUCUGGAGACCAGAGUUUGACUCUCCAUGUGGCCAUGAAAUCCACUGGGUGACCUUGGGCAAGUCACACAACCUCAGAGGAAGGCAAUGGCAAACCUCUGAACAAAUCUCGCCAAGAAAAUCCCAUGUUAGGUUUGCCUUAGAGUCACCAUAAGUUGGAAAUGAACAACAAUUUCUUAUCAGUCUUGUCUGGCACACUAUGUACUGGAACGCCAUUUGUAUUCAAACAGCAGUGAGUAUUAUUUGGGUCCUUUUCUGAAUCACAUGAGACAUUGAUCUGUGACAAUCUCGCAUUAUUUUUGCGUGGUUCUAACCUUUGUGUGAAAGCCAGCGUAGUGUGGUUUGAGCAUUGGACUAGGACUCUGGGAGACAAGGGUUUGAAUCCCUGCUUGGCCAUGGAAACCCCACUGGGUGACCCUGGGCAAGUCACACUCAGCCUCAGAGGAAGGCAAAAGGCUGUGAUAGGUUUGCUUUGGGGUUACCAUAAGUCGGAAAUGGCUUGAAGGCACACAACAACAAUUGUACAUUCCAGAGGGACAUCCAAGGCAGCCAUUUUAAGGGAAAAGGUGGAAAGAAGGAAUAUGUUUCAUUUACUGGAUGGCGCACUUUCAUUUUGAUGCAACAUAAUUGUAACAUAAUGUGACAAGGCAAUGUUUUUAUUUUAACUGUAUUGUAAUAUUGUUGGUCUAAAUAGCCUAAAGACACCAAAUCUCUUCUGACUUGGAAGCUAAGCAGGGUCAGCUUAGAGACCACCCACUGAAUACCAGGUGCCAUGGGCUAUAUUUCAGAGGAAGGAACUGGCAAAACCAUCUAUUGGCAACAUGUGUCCUGGUUUUUCAUCUGUGAAAUGUUGGAAGAUAUGCUGCCAUUUCAGUGAAUGGUGAACCUGCUCUAGGUUUUACAUUGAACUUGAAAGGAAUUAUCUAAAGAGCUGAAGCUAUUGGCUGAAGUGGUACAGUGACGAGAAGAAGAAAUAAAACUUGGUCUUCCUUAUUGUAUAAACUGGCUUGAGUUAUUUCCAUCACCCUGAUCCCCCCAUCUUGCUUCUCAGUGAGGGGUCUUGUUUAUCAGAGGCCUUUUCAUACUACACAGUUAUAACCCUAUGGUUCCACUUGAGCAGCCAUGGCAAC